ensembl:lncRNA
GCACGUUCUGUUGAACUCUCUGUGUAGUUACUAUGGAAACAGGGCCUCACUAUUUUAACACACCCUUGGUUAUUAUAAAUAUUAAAGGCUAUCUAUGUGUAAUUACAAACAGAGGGGCAAUACAAACUAACUCAUGAUAAACUAGAUCUUUUUUUUUUUUUUUAAAAAAGCUUCCCUAAAAUUAAAAAUAGAUUGGUCAAGACUAAAAAGACAUGAAAAAAAUCCAGCCAGCAAGACAAGAGGUACAAUGAUUCUUAGAGGGAAAAUAUGCUUACAAAUGUUUUUAUUUUAAAAUACUUUUAUUUUAAAAGGUUACACAGCUGUCAGAUAAUCAUCCAGCUGAUGGGAGGGCAAAUCAUGGUGAGAUCUCCCCUCAGUAUAGUGACACAAGUCACAGGGGUCAUAUCAUAUCAUGAAAUAUGAAUGAUGCAGAUCUUUGCUCCUGAUCUCAUUUAACGCAUCUUUUAAAUAGUUGAAAAUGCAUUUGAAAACCUAAUUUUUUAGACAGAACAAGGGCACUUAAAAAAAUAUUUUUUUAAAAAAAUGUUGUUUCAAACCUGUAUUACUGACAAAAAGCAUAAAGCUGUAUAAAUAUUGCUUGUAAUUAAUGAUUCGCUAAUGACUAAUUAAUACUGUUUUUUUUUUAAUAAAAAAAUGAAUAAAGCCCCGUGUAGUUUUAAUCCUUAUUAAUAAACGACCAAUUUGUGUUCAUAACGCGAGCCUGUCACGCUUUUACUUAGCCUACAUUGUUUGCUCUGAAAUUAGCCUAUAUACUAGCAGGCUGUUUAAUAAAUAUAUCUUCUGCUUAUGUAUAAAUUAUAUUAAGGCCAUAAUGAAGAGUGAUAGAGUGAUUCAAAUGUUGUUAGGUGAAGUUGUACUGCGUCAAUGACAUGCUCCUCCUGAAUGCUGACGCACGCUUAGAGCAAUGCUCCUCAUCAAAGUCCAUGCAAUGCAGCUCGACUGAGAUCUCACAAUCCAGAAACAGCGUCGACUUUCAGCAUCCUGCGAGAGGAGCCUCUGGGAGACCUACUGCGAGCCGACUGGAGGCGGAGGAGCUACUCA